rnacentral:rRNA from 1 species
UGCCCGGUGGUCCCACCUGACCCCAUGCCGAACUCAGAAGUGAAACGCCGUAGCGCCGAUGGUAGUGUGGGGUCUCCCCAUGCGAGAGUAGGGAACUGCCAGGC